UUAUCUCUUCUUUCUCAGGACUCACUGGCUAUCAGACAUUACUUUAGGUGAAGACUUUCCAGUCUGACUUCCCUCACCUGAGCCUUAAGGAUCCAUUUUCUGACAUGGUGAUAGUAAAGAUAUUGGUUGUCAAGUGGAAUCUCAGCAGUCAUUUUCAGACAAAGGGAAAGAAAAAGUAUGGAAGAUGCCUGAUUCUCAAAGAGUCAUCCGGUCCUGGGAUUACAGCCUAAGUCCAUGGAAGUGAAAGUCCUCUUUUUCUUUGUACCUCUUACUGAGAUAAGUCUGAUGCAAUUAAUUAUAUUAGUUACAUUCUAUUCAUUGGUUAUAACUAUAUUUUAAAUAUACCUGGUUUAUAAGAAUUAAACCUAUUUGCCAUACCACAGUUAUUGCUUCAGAAGCCAAAUGUGAUUUUAUUAUGGUCAUAAAAUUAUUUUAGAUAUCCUCAUAUCUCUUAUAUAUCUGAACUGCCCAGGAACUUUCAUGAUUAUAAUGUACCACAUAGGACAUAUUGUAGUUGAUCACUAAGCAGAGAAAUCUACCUAGAUUAAGCAAAAAAAAAAAAAAAAUAUGUAUUGAGAUUGAUAUGGUUAGCCUUUUUGUCCCCACUCAGAUAUCAUCUCGAAUUGUAAAUCCCCAUAUUUUCCCCCAUGUGUCAAUGGGAGAGACCAGGUGGAGGUAAUUGAAUCAUGGGGGUGAUAGUGAGUGAGUUCCCAUGAAAUCGGAUGGUUUUCUAAGGGGCUCUUCCUCCUUCACUUGGCAAUUCUCCUUCCUGCCACCCUGUGAGGAAAGUGCCUGCUUCCCCUUCACCUUCCACCAAGAUUGUUAAAUUUCUUGAGGCUUCCCCAGCCAUGCUGAACUAUGAGUCAAUUAAAUCUCUUUCUUUAUAAAUUACCUAGUCUCCGGCAGUUCUUUAUAGCAGUAUGAAAACAGACUAAUAAAGAGAUUAAUCUUAAUUUUUCCUUUCAGAAAUGCUGAAUGCUGUUCCUAGAUUUGUGAAAGUGAAGUGUGCAUAAGCUGCCUCAGUGCGACACUUUCCUUUUGUGAGACUAAAGAAAUUGAGGUACUAUAUGGUACCUUGGAAGUGUCAUCAAGAUAUUUUAAAAGCUGACUGGAGCGCAUUUCUUUGAUACUCCUCCUAGCUGAAAUUAGAACAUUUAUAAACUAUUAUCAAUAUGUCAUUAGGAAAAUUUUGAGAUCUAUGAUACAUUAAGUUUGUGAAAUUGUUCUGAAGCAAUGAAUGAACUCUCUAGAUUAACUCUACUAGGAUAAAAUAAAAUAUUCCUAUUUAUUUCCAUUCACAAAAUAGUUGUUCUCUAGAUAAUCAAAUAUCCAUAAUAAUGAUGAACCCAGAAAGUGUUUAUUUUACCUGGUAUUUAUUAUAGUCAGUUCAAAGUUCAAUAGAAA
rnacentral:lncRNA from 10 species